ACAAACCCAAAAUAAUAAUAACGGCGUAAAGCACGACUAAAUAACAGUUAGUUACUAGGAAAUAAAACCAAGCUGGGCCGUAAAAAGCCAUAAGCCACAAUAAAUAACCUACAAUAAACUAAUUCCACUCGUGAAAGUUAGGGCACAAACUAAGAUUAGAUACCUUACUAUGCCUAACUGUAACACAACAAUCAAAUUACUAAUUGUUCGCCAAAUAACUACGAGUAAAAACUUAAAAUUUAAAAGACUUGACGGUACUUCACAACAGCCUAGAGGAGCCUGUCCAAUAACCGAUACCCCGCGAUUAACCCUACCCUCUCUAGCCAAACAGUCUAUAUACCGCCGUCGCCAGCUUACCUUAUGAAAGAAACAAAGUAAGCUAAAUAGUCAUACACUAGCACGACAGGUCGAGGUGUAACUAAUGGGGGGGGCCAAGAUGGGCUACAUUUUCUAAAACAGAAAACACGGAUAAACUAUGAAAUAAGAAACUGAAGGAGGAUUUAGCAGUACACUAAGAACAAACUACUUAGUAGAAAUUAAUGCAAUGAAGUGCGUACACACCGCCCGUCAUCCCUGCCAAUAUUAUACAAAUAUCCAUAAUACAAACAUAACUCCAAAA
rnacentral:rRNA from 1 species